CUCUCACCUCUUUCUCACUCCGGCCAAAUUCCCUCCUGACGCGCCAACUCGGGGCGGGCACCGACCUUCCUGGUCCCUUGGCGCAAGGUCAGGGAACAGGGACCAAGGUCCCAGGGCAGACGGCUCGGUCGAGGACCCAGAACUCCCAGCUAGCCGAGGCGUUAUUUACACCCCUCCCUACCCCGCUUUCCCCUGCUACGCGCCCGCGUCCUCCCCCUGGGCCACGCGGGUUCGCGCUGGAGUCGUAGCGUUUCCAGGAUUCCAGUGUCCCCGCGCAAAGCCCCUCAGCCGGCGCGCUGCAAGCAGAAAAGCGAAACUUGUUGCUCCCAAAGGCGAGCGAAGAAUUCCGCUUCUCGAAGUGGCGAAUAGUUUGAAGAGCAUCUCCGAAGCGUCCUCAGGGUUUUGUUUGCCAAACCAGCGCGCGACACACUGUGCUCCGGGUUCUGCACUGCCGAGAGAGGUUCCUGUGUCGGAGACCUAGGCUUGCCACUGGUCACAGCCACAACGGCAGUGGGGACAAGGAUGGAAACGGCGGUGAAGUCAGCGGCCAGAGGAGCCUCGCGGAAGUCCGCCGCGCUUCAGGGCAGGUCCAAAUGGAACUUGACCCAAUGAAAGUGACAACACGCCGAGGUCAUUUGCAGUGUGAACGUGCUACAUUGGACUGGGGAAUUCUGAUACUUAAAGGCCACAAAUUAAAAUAAGGUGAAAAUGA